GUGAAAGCAAUGGAAGAUCAAACGAUGCCAAUAAAUAUUUGGAAUCUUGCUUUCAACCUUUUUAAGGUUAGCAUUCAGUAACCCCCCUUCCCCCAACCCUUACCAGUUACCAACCCUAACUCACUACAACUCUCCAACGGCGCAGCAGCACACCCUCCCUCGUCCCUCCCAUCACCCUCGAGCUAACCAUUCCUCUCAACGCCGGCGAGCUCAGUCCCUCCCUUUCGUUCAGCCGCCGGACUACUCCUGACGCCGUCGCCGGUUGCAGCUUCGAAGCUCACUCGGUCCCUCACUCAGCUAACGUCUCAGACUCUCAGCAGUGGAAGCAUAGUCGCCGGGCUCGCCUCCUGCCUCCGUCGCGAAGCUUUGUUCCACCUUCGCCGGCGCCAUCUCUGUUCCUGCCUCCGUCGCCAGCUCUCCGUUUCCAGCGCCGCCAUCCUUCUUUGCAUUUGAAACGGAGUGAUUAGAGGAUGUGGUAGGCAGCACUUGGCUGCAUAUGUCAACCUUGCAACCUUUUAUCUCAUUGAUUACCAAUAUCAUGUCUCCUUGGAUUUAAGACCAAUACGCAAUUCAAGGAAUAAGAAGAACAAGAAGAAAAAUUUAAUAAUUAAAAGAAUGCUUUGUAUUGUAAAGAUUGUUCUCGCACUUAAAGAGUAACUCAUACACCCCCACAAGUGGGGUGGGAUUCACAAGUGUCCUACAUAUGGCCAUGGCCUACUAUUGAAUAAUACUAUAGGUGUAUCUGAUACAUUCUAUCACCAAAAUAAAAAAAAAAAUU